CGUGCAGGUGGGUUGGUAAGUUACUUAUGAAAGCUCCUGGCUAAACUAGGAGAGGUUGAGUGAAACUGCCAGUCUAGAGUGGAUGAGAGGAAGAUAGAAUUCCGCGUGUAGUGGUGAAAUGCGUAGAUAUGCGGAGGAAUACCAGUGGCGAAGGCGAUCUUCUGGCAUCCAACUGACACUCAGACGCGAAAGCAUGGGUAGCGAACG
rnacentral:rRNA from 1 species